rnacentral:tRNA from 1 species
GGUUUUAUAUUUUAUUAAAAAUAUUAAAUUGCAAAUUUAAAGAAACAUGUUUAUGUUAAAACUU